AUGUCAGUCCAAAACCUGUCCAAAACAGUCCAAAAAAUAACAUCAAAAAUAGCCAUACAAAUUUGCAUUCAAAAAGAAAUAAAACAGUUAACUACAAUAGUUCAAAGGCACCAACUUUUCCCACCAAAUUUUAUCAUUCUCUCUCUCUAUAAAAUGAAAACAUCAUUCAACAGAAGAAGGGGAGGAAUGAAGAGAAAAUAA